GAUGAACGCUAGCGGCAGGCUUAAUACAUGCAAGUCGAGGGGCAGCAUGAUUGUAGCAAUACAAUUGAUGGCGACCGGCAAACGGGUGCGGAACACGUACACAACCUUCCAACAAGUGGGGGAUAGCCCAGAGAAAUUUGGAUUAAUACCCCGUAACAUAGCGAUGUGGCAUCACAUUGCUAUUAUAGAUUUUUCGCUUGUUGAUGGGUGUGCGGCUGAUUAGAUAGUUGGCGGGGUAACGGCCCACCAAGUCUACGAUCAGUAGCUGAUGUGAGAGCAUGAUCAGCCACACGGGCACUGAGACACGGGCCCGACUCCUACGGGAGGCAGCAGUAAGGAAUAUUGGACAAUGGACGCAAGUCUGAUCCAGCCAUGCCGCGUGAAGGAUUAAGGUCCUCUGGAUUGUAAACUUCUUUUAUAAGGGACGAAAAAAGGCUUUUCUAAGUCGUCUGACGGUACCUUAUGAAUAAGCACCGGCUAACUCCGUGCCAGCAGCAGCCGCAGUAA
rnacentral:rRNA from 1 species